CAAGAUGAAUAACUGAACAGAUGAUUAUUCAUAGUCAAGUCUAUUAUUUUUUAUAAGUUAAUUUCUGUGUUAAUAACUAUUACCAUAUGUAAGGCAUCUCUCUGAAACUUCACAGGUAUUAUAUCCUUAAGGCAAAUAUUACUCUUAGAACAGUGGAAAUGAAGACUUGGAGAGCACAUGUCAUAGACAUGGGGGGAUGGAAUCAAGACUCGGACCGAUUCUGCAUGACUUCCUAGCUUAUGAUCCUUCAACCAGAAUCCAUUACCCAAGAUGGACUUCAGCCAAGCUUCUCAGCCUACAGCACUAAUGUGUAACUUCAUAAACCAUGCCCAAGGCACGUCCUAUCAAGUCUGCCUGACAAUAGCUCCCACGUUCUGUCAGAUGAUGGCCUUCUUCAGGAAACCUCUCCAUCCAAAUGAAACCUCUCCAUCCAAAUGAAACCUCUCCAUCCAAAAGUUGGGUGAAUAAAAGUGCCUGUGAAAGAAUCUUCUUCUCUUAACAGGGCCCCUGUCAUAAGGAAACCUGGGAGAGCGAAGAAAGGCCUGAUUGAUCACAAGGUCCUAUCAAAUGUCAAAGCUGGCCCUGGCUGACCUCCCAUCUAUUCAGAGCUGCUUUGAUUUAAUCUCCAAACUGGCUGCUUCUCUAGGCUAGAAGAAGAUUGAAAGUUUCAAUAAAGAAAGGUGAUGAUAAUGUCUUCCUGGAACCCUUGGCUAAGAUGGAUUGGCAAAGAAUAAAAUGAUCUAGGUUCUAAAAUUUGGCUUUGAUACUAACCACCUAUUGAGUAAGUGACUUUUGGUGUCUUAGUUACUUGAUAUUCAUGACAAAGGGUUUGGAAUAAAUAAUUUUCUUUGUUCUUACUGUGGAUAAAUUGUAUGAAUCUAUUCUGUUUUAUAUUUGGAAUCAAAUACUACA